rnacentral:SRP_RNA from 1 species
GCCAGGUGUGGUGGUGCACACCUGUAAUCCUAGCACACUUGGGAGGCUGAGGCAGAAGAAUUGCUUGAACUUGGGAGGUGGGGGCUGCAGUGAGCUGAGUCAUGCCAUUGCACUCCAGCCUGAGUGACACAGCAAGACUCUGUCUCAA